rnacentral:lncRNA from 10 species
AUAACUAUUUUGAGUAGCUUUGAUCUGUGUCAUAGGAUCUUAUGUAAAUUGCUUAAUUUCUCUAAGCCCUAAUCUCCACAGUAAGACAAUGUGAAAAAAAAGUCAUUUAUAAUGGCUUUCAACUCUAACAUUUCAUAAAUGUAGUUGUAAUUUUAGUCUAGGCAGAAAAUCAUAUGCUAAAUAGGCUGAAGAAAUUAAGCCUACACACAUUUUUCUUUUUAACAUAUAACCCUUUCUUUCAUCUUUUACCUAUUUAUUCUAGCCAGAAUUCUACUCAGGUUCGGAUCUAGAGGAUCAUUUGUUAUUUAUGUUUCAGGAAUUUCUCAACAGUCCCAAAUAGAUAACUUUUUUUUUUUUUUUUUUUUAGGGGACAGGGUCUCCUUCUAUUGCCCAGGCUAGAGUGCAGUGGGGUGGUCAUGUCUCACUGCAGCCUCAAACUCCUGAGCUCAAGUGAUCCUCCUGCCUCAGCCUCCAAAGUAGUUGGAACUACAGGCAUGUACCACCAUGCCUGGUUAACUUUUUUUUUUUUUUUUUUUUUUUUUUAAAUACAGGGUCUCACUAUGUUGCUCAGGUGGGUCUUGAACUCUUGGCCUCAAGCAGUCUUCUGCUUUGGCCUUCCAAAGUGCUGAGAUUAGAGGCGUAAGCCAAUAUAUCCAGAAGAUAACAUAAUCAAUAGUUUACAUAAGCUAGUUAGGUCAAGAAUUAUCCCACUACGUCUCUGAUCAAGCUGCAGUACAAACCAUACAGUCACUCAGUUUUAAUAAUUUAACAAAAUUUUUACGAAGGUGGCUAUGUACCACGCAUUGCUUUAAAUUUUUUGAAAUAUUAACUCAUUUAAUCUUGAUAACAACUCUGAGGUUAUUAUCCUUAUUUUAGGGAUUAGGACAUAGAGGACCAGAGAGGGUCAGUGACUCUUCUAUACUAGAAGCAGCUGGUUGCAGGGCUGAAAUUCCAAUCCAGGCCACUGAACUCGAGACUGGGCUCCAAACCAAUGCUCUGUGCUAUUUUCUUAGAUCAACUAUUUGCAAUGAUGCUUUCCAAAACCUUGUUACAGGUUAAUCAAAACACAAAAUGCUGAAAAAACUGAGUCCCUUAUUGUCAUCAGGACAUCACUUAAAGCAAGCUUGUCUAAUCUGCCUUAUUUUGUUGUUGUUCUGUUUUGUUGUAUUUUAGGCUUUCAGCAGCCUGAAGCCAUAGUUUUUAGUUUCUGUCUCUAGUGAUAAGCAGAAAGAGGGAUGAGGAAAGGGCUUUACUGGCCCAACCAGACACAGAAACUAAGAACAAAUGGCUGUACAAGUGAACUGUCAGUGUGGGCAUUGCAUGCGCUCAUGACUGUUUAUUAAAGUGAAGAAGAGUAGCAUUAUUAUUGUUAGACCAAAAGGAGGAUGCCUGUUGCUUACGACUUCCCAGAGUCUGUUCGUGAAAUAUAUGUUGAAGCCGUGGGUUUUCUCUCUACUGCCAAACCCCUCAUCGAAACCACUGCCACCUGGCAUCUGAACUACUGCACUGGCUGACUAGCCAGCCUCCCACUUCCAUCUGGAUUCCUCAAAUCCACUUGCAACGUUACAGCAGAAUGAUUUCUUAAAAUGAAAACUUGCCAUUGACCAACAAAAGCCAUAAUUGACAAAUGGGAUCUAAUUAAACUAAAGAGCUUCUGCACAGCAUAAGAAACUACCAUCAGAGUGAACAAGCAACCAACAGAAUGGGAGAAAAUUUUUGCAACCUACUCAUCUGACAAA